CCUACGGGGGGCUGCAGUGAGGAAUAUUGGUCAAUGGACGAGAGUCUGAACCAGCCAAGUAGCGUGAAGGAUGACUGCCCUAUGGGUUGUAAACUUCUUUUAUAUGGGAAUAAAACGUUCCACGUGUGGGAUUUUGUAUGUACCAUAUGAAUAAGGAUCGGCUAACUCCGUUCCAGCAGCCGCGGUAAUACGGAGGAUCCGAGCGUUGUCCGGAUUUAUUGGGUUUAAAGGGAGCGUAGGUGGAUUGUUAAGUCAGUUGUGAAAGUUUGCGGCUCAACCGUAAAAUUGCAGUUGAAACUGGCAGUCUUGAGUACAGUAGAGGUGGGCGGAAUUCGUGGUGUAGCGGUGAAAUGCUUAGAUAUCACGAAGAACUCCGAUUGCGAAGGCAGUUCACUGGACUGCAACUGACACUGAGGCUCGAAAGUGUGGGUAUCAAACAGGAUUAGAUACCCCAGUAGUC
rnacentral:rRNA from 1 species